GUCUACGGCCAUGCCACCCUGAACAAGCCCAAUCCUGUCUGAUCUCGGAAGCUAAGCAGGGUCAGGCCUGGUUAGUACUUGGAUGAGAGACCACCUAGGAAGACCAGGUGCUGUAGGUA
rnacentral:rRNA from 1 species